rnacentral:misc_RNA from 1 species
GAUGAAGAACGUAGCGAAAUGCGAUAAGUAAUGUGAAUUGCAGAAUUCAGUGAAUCAUCGAAUCUUUGAACGCAUAUUGCGCCCGCCAGUAUUCUGGCGGGCAUGCCUGUUCGAGCGUCAUUACAACCCUCAGGCCCCCGGGCCUGGCGUUGGGGAUCGGCGGAAGCCCCCUGCGGGCACAACGCCGUCCCCCAAAUACAGUGGCGGUCCCGCCGCAGCUUCCAUUGCGUAGUAGCUAACACCUCGCAACUGGAGAGCGGCGCGGCCACGCCGUAAAACACCCAACUUCUGAAUGUUGACCUCGAAUCAGGUAGGAAUACCCGCUGAACUUAAGCAUAUCAAUAAGCGGAGGA